rnacentral:tRNA from 1 species
GUAGUCUUAGGUUAUAUGGUAAACCCACAGGUUGUGACCCUGAAAAACAUGGUUCGAGUCCAUGAGAUUGCA